GAUGUACUCCCUCCGUCCGAAAAUACUUGUCAUCAAAAUGGAUAAAAAGAGAUGUAUCUAGAACUAAAAUACAUCUAGAUACAUCCCCUUUUGUUCAUUUUUAUGACAAAUAUUUUCCGGACGGAGGGAGUAUAUA
rfam:Triticum aestivum genome assembly, contig: Triticum_aestivum_CS42_TGACv1_scaffold_328851_4BS